rnacentral:rRNA from 1 species
AAUGGGCGAAGCCUGAUCCAGCCAUGCCGCGUGUGUGAAGAAGGCCUUUUGGUUGUAAAGCACUUUAAGCGAGGAGGAGGAGCUUCAGGUUAAUACCCUGGAUGCUUGGACGUUACUCGCAGAAUAAGCACCGGCUAACUCUGUGCCAGCAGCCGCGGUAAUACAGAGGGUGCAAGCGUUAAUCGGAUUUACUGGGCGUAAAGCGUGCG